UUGAGUUUCGUAUAAGCUUUACCAAUAUAUAAUAUCUCCAUACUUUGGUUUGAUUAGCAGAGUUGACGAGUGAACGCUGCAACACCUCAAAACAGUUUUAAGUAUAACGGGUCAGGAGAUACGUUCAAAUGAAGUUGUAACAAUAACAGGCCGACAUAUCAAAAAGCGCAUAAAACACGCAGAAAAGUUUUCAUCUUUUUUUCACAAAAAUGUUGACGAACUGGUCGAAAUCCUUCCACCAACUACCCAUCGUGAUUAUACUUCUUUGAAACCAACAAAUUUUCGAAAAGUCAGAUUAAAGAGUAGAACAGGUUAUUACUUAGAAGUACUAAAUUCUGGAAAAGUGGCUGGCAAUACAAUAGAAACAAAUUACAGUGUAUUAGAAAUGCAAGUAAUAGCCCCGCAAAUAAAAAGGAUAAAAAGCGUUCUGACCGGAAAGUAUAUAUCAAUUAACUCUGAUGGAAAAGUAAAAACAAAGACAAAUAUAAGUCCUGACAUUUAUUUUAUUGAGGAAGUCCUUCCGCAUUCCUUUUAUUCAUACUUCUCAAUCAAGUAUCCAAAAUCGACAAAAGAACCUCCCUGGUUAUUGGGGCUAAAGCAAAAAGUUGGUAAUAAAUCGUACGGAGUAGCAUGUCGUGCUUCUAGGACAUUACCUGGAGAUAAUGAGACUCAAUUCUCCAUUAUAGAUUUUUAACGUUUAACGACAAUGAGAUUUAUCUCUGCAUUAAAUAUCUAACAAUUUAUUAGUAUAUGGACUUAGUCCACUGUAAUUUAUAACAAGUCAUAAUAUUUACUUAUUUAUUUGAAUAGAAUUUACGAUUUUCUCUA
rnacentral:misc_RNA from 1 species